rnacentral:lncRNA from 1 species
GGCUGCCACUGAAAGACGGUUUGUUAGACUCAGAUCUGAGCAGGAGGUGGCAUGCCACCCACAAAGCACCGGGUCUGUCAGGGGAAGCAGGAGGAGGGGGCACUUGUGGACAAGAGUCUUUAUAUGGGUCCCCUAGGAGGGAGUGAGUGAGGCAGGGUGAGAAAGUUUGAAUUACUUCAGCUGGCGUUAAGUUCGGGGCUGUCCCUAGUUGUCCAGUAGCUGGCCCUGGAUGACUAGGGGUGGUGACGGUGGUCCAGAGUGUGAGAAUAACAGCACAGGAGAUGGCUGGGACGGGGAACAUUUCUUCCAUCUCUAGGAACUGGUGAACCCUGGAAAGGAGGGGCAGCCUGUCCGCAUGUCAAAGUCAGAGCACAGAAAGCAAGAGACCUGAUUCACAGGUUGAGGAGUGAGUGGGCAGACAAAUCUGAGGAUGUAAAAGCAAGGAGGAACCUUGACCACAGGGUCAGAGGCCCAUGGGCCCCCUCCUUUUCCCAGGGGAGAAAGUAGGCUGCUGGCUACCACAGCAUAGGUGCUGAAAGUUGGCUCUAUUCUUUGCAGGAGGACAGAACCUGCCUCCUGGAUGUGAGCAGAGCUACUUUCCCAUCUUUAGGGGAAAAAAUACAGGCAGAGAUCCUGCAGCUGUCUGAGGCCACCUCCACCACAAACUUCCUUAGUCAGCAGCACUGCUCCCAUCUUCAGCAACACUGGUCUGUAAAAACGCUGCUAUGAUGCCCUCGAUUCCUCCCUGGAAAGAGGCUGCUGGCCCCCAGUGCCCCUUGCCAGCUGGUUUCAGCCAACAGUGUUGCAGCACGUGGCACAACGUCCUGCAGCUACGCGGGCCUGCCGUGCCAAGUGCACUGUGUGGGACGGCGUUGGAGUUUCAGUUUCUCUGGUCAAGAGCGUGGGGAGCAACCCAAGAGCUCACAUGACGGUGAGUAUGUGCACGUGUGUGUGCACGCGUGUCUGUGUAUGUA